CAAUAGCGUAUAUUAAAGUUGCUGCAGUUAAAAAGCUCGUAGUUGCAUUUCCGAGGCAAGGGAUUAGUCCGACCUUUGGUGGGUAUUUAAUCCUCUUGCCUCGUCCUUGAGUGGUGCUUCUUGGUAUUAAGUUAUCGAGGAGAUAGCCGCUCAUCGUUUACUGUGAGAAAAUUAGAGUGUUCAAAGCAGGCUUAUGCCGUUGAAUAUAUUAGCAUGGAAUAAUAAGAUAGGACCUCGGUACUAUUUUGUUGGUUUGAGAACCAAGGUAAUGAUGAAUAGGGACAGUUGGGGGUAUUCGUAUUCAGUUGUCAGAGGUGAAAUUCUUAGAUUUACGGAAGACGAACUACUGCGAAAGCAUUUACCAAGGAUGUUUCCAUUAA
rnacentral:rRNA from 1 species